rnacentral:rRNA from 1 species
UACGGAGGGUGCGAGCGUUGUCCGGAAUCACUGGGCGUAAAGGGCGCGUAGGCGGCCUGAUAAGUAGGGGGUGAAAUCCUGCGGCUUAACCGCAGGGCUGCCUUCUAAACUGUCGGGCUAGAGCACGGUAGAGGCAGAUGGAAUUCCCGGUGUAGCGGUGGAAUGCGUAGAGAUCGGGAAGAACAUCAGUGGCGAAGGCAGCUCGCUGGGACGUGACUGACGCUGAGACGCGAAAGCGUGGGGAGCAAACAGG